rnacentral:rRNA from 1 species
UGAACGCUGGCGGCGUGCUUAACACAUGCAAGUCGAACGAAGCACUUUAUUUGAUUUCCUUCGGGACUGAUUAUUUUGUGACUGAGUGGCGGACGGGUGAGUAACGCGUGGGUAACCUGCCUUGUACAGGGGGAUAACAGUUGGAAACGGCUGCUAAUACCGCAUAAGCGCACAGCAUCGCAUGAUGCAGUGUGAAAAACUCCGGUGGUAUAAGAUGGACCCGCGUUGGAUUAGCUAGUUGGUGAGGUAACGGCCCACCAAGGCGACGAUCCAUAGCCGACCUGAUAGGGUGACCGGCCACAUUGGGACUGAGACACGGCCCAAACUCCUACGGGAAGCAGCAGUGGGGAAUAUUGCACAAUGGGCGAAAGCCUGAUGCGGCGACGCCGCGUGAGCGAAGAAGUAUUUCGGUAUGUAAAGCUCUAUCAGCAGGGAAGAUAAUGACGUUACCUGACUAAGAAGCACCGGCUAAAUACGUG